GACGAACGCUGGCGGCGUGCUUAACACAUGCAAGUCGAACGGUGAAAGCGGAGCUUGCUCCGCUGGAUCAGUGGCGAACGGGUGAGUAACACGUGGGCAACCUGCCCCUCACUUCGGGAUAACUCCGGGAAACCGGGGCUAAUACCGGAUAUGACCUCCUUGGGCAUCCUUGGAGGUGGAAAGUUUUUCGGUGAGGGAUGGGCCCGCGGCCUAUCAGCUUGUUGGUGAGGUAGUGGCUCACCAAGGCGACGACGGGUAGCCGGCCUGAGAGGGCGACCGGCCACACUGGGACGGAGACACGGCCCAGACUCCGACGGGAGGCAGCAGUGGGGAAUAUUGCGCAAUGGGCGAAAGCCGGACGCAGCAACGCCGCGUGCGGGAUGACGGCCUUCGGGUUGUAAACCGCUUUCAGCAGGGAAGAAGCCGCAAGGUGACGGUACCUGCAGAAGAAGCACCGGCUAACUACGUGCCAGCCGCCGCCGUAA
rnacentral:rRNA from 1 species